rnacentral:rRNA from 1 species
GACGAACGCUGGCGGCGUGCCUAAUACAUGCAAGUAGAACGCACAGUUUAUACCGUAGCUUGCUACACCAUAGACUGUGAGUUGCGAACGGGUGAGUAAUGCGUAGGUAACCUGCCUGGUAGCGGGGGAGAAAAAUUGGACACGAAAGCUAUAACAGCAUAAUAUUAAUUAUUGAAUGAUAAUUAAUGGAAAGGUGGAAUCGUAUAAAUACCAGAUGGACCUACGUUGUAUUAGCUAGUAGGGGAGGUAACGGAUCAACCAGGCGACGAUACAUAGGCGAACUGGGAGGGUGGACGGCCACCCUGGGACUGGGACACGGCCCAGACUCCUACGGGAAGCAGCAGGAGGGAAACUUCGGGAAUUGGCGGAAAUCUUACCGAAGAACGCCGCGGGGGGGGAGAAAGGUUUCGGAUCGGAAAGCUCUUUUUUAAGGGGAGAACGAGAUUGAGAAGGGAAAGUUCACGCUGUGACGGUAUCUUACCAGAAAGGGACGGCUAACUACGUG